rnacentral:rRNA from 1 species
CCUCUUCGGAGCAGUGGAGACAGGUGGUGCAUGGUUGUCGUCAGCUCGUGUCGUGAGAUGUUGGGUUAAGUCCCGCAACGAGCGCAACCCCUAUCCUUAGUAGCCAGCGAGAAAGACGGGCACUCUAGGGAGACUGCCGGGGAUAACCCGGAGGAAGGUGGGGACGACGUCAAAUCAUCAUGCCCCUUAUGUUCUGGGCUACACACGUGCUACAAUGGCGUAAACAAAGGGAAGCGAAGGCGUGAGCGUAAGCAAAACCCAAAAAUAACGUCCCAGUUCGGAUUGUAGUCUGCAACCUCGACUACAUGAAGCUGGAAUCGCUAGUAAUCGUGGAUCAGAAUGCCGCGGUGAAUACGUUCCCGGGUCUUGUACACACCGA